AGUGAGCGCUGGCGGUAGGCCUAACACAUGCAAGUCGAACGGCAGCACAGUAAGAGCUUGCUCUUACGGGUGGCGAGUGGCGGACGGGUGAGGAAUACAUCGGAAUCUACUUUUUCGUGGGGGAUAACGUAGGGAAACUUACGCUAAUACCGCAUACGACCUACGGGUGAAAGCAGGGGAUCUUCGGACCUUGCGCGAUUGAAUGCGCCGAUGUCGGAUUAGCUAGUUGGCGGGGUAAAGGCCCACCAAGGCGACGAUCCGUAGCUGGUCUGAGAGGAUGAUCAGCCACACUGGAACUUAGACACGGUCCAGACUCCUACGGGAGGCAGCAGUGGGGAAUAUUGGACAAUGGGCGCAAGCCUGAUCCAGCCAUACCGCGUGUGUGAAGAAGGCCUUCGGGUUGUAAAGCCCUUUUGUUGGGAAAGAAAAGCAGCAGGUUAAUACCCCGCUGUUCUGACGGUACCCAAAGAAUAAGCACCGGCUAACUUCGUG
rnacentral:rRNA from 1 species